rnacentral:rRNA from 1 species
AUUGAACGCUGGCGGCAGGCCUAACACAUGCAAGUCGAACGGUAACAGGAAGAAGCUUGCUUCUUUGCUGACGAGUGGCGGACGGGUGAGUAAUGUCUGGGAAACUGCCUGAUGGAGGGGGAUAACUACUGGAAACGGUAGCUAAUACCGCAUAACGUCGCAAGACCAAAAAGGGGGACCUUCGGGCCUCUUGCCAUCGGAUGUGCCCAGAUGGGAUUAGCUAGUAGGUGGGGUAACGGCUCACCUAGGCGACGAUCCCUAGCUGGUCUGAGAGGAUGACAAGCCACACUGGAACGGAGACACGGUCCAGACUCCUACGGGAGGCAGCAGUGGGGAAUAUUGCACAAUGGGCGCAAGCCUGAUGCAGCCAUGCCGCGUGUAUGAAGAAGGCCUUCGGGUUGUAAAGUACUUUCAGCGGGGAGGAAGGGAGUAAAGUUAAUACCUUUGCUCAUUGACGUUACCCGCAGAAGAAGCACCGGCUAACUCCGUG